rnacentral:lncRNA from 11 species
CAUGGGCAAACUUUUGGACACAGAGGCCACAUUUCAUUUUAAAAUUUGACAGAUGGCCUGGGUCAGUGGCAGAUGGAUGGGGAAUAUUUGUGUAAACUAAUUAGAAAAAACAUGAACAAAUUCCUAAUAACAGUGCACAUAUCUCUUUUGUAGUGCAAGAAAGAAAGAAAGAAAGAAAGAAAGAAAGAAAGAAAGAAAGAAAGAAAGGAACAAUUUUAACCAACAUAAACUUAAUAGUAUUUCAGUGGAAGACCCCAACAGCCUUCCAGUCCAACCCCUUCUGCCAUGUAAGAAAAAGUUUCUGGAAGCAAGGAAGGCUUGAGGAUCUGCAUGGUCUAAAGUCAAGAUCACUAUGACGUCACUCACAGAGCUGCUGUAGUAUGGCAGGCCACUAGCACCAGCAGGCAUGGUAAUCUCUGAAGUGACUCUUAGAAAAUACGAAGUUGUGUUUGGAUGUAAACCCAUGCUGUAGGUAUGUUAUGCCAAUUAUUGUGAAAGAGUUCUUGAUAGAGUAAGUUUACCCUGUAGUUCAGCUUCUGCAGAGGUAAACUGCAAUGCAACUUUGGUAAACAGCAAGGCUGCAGUUCUCUACUGAAAAAGACCUAUUGCCCAAGUGCUUUCCAG